rnacentral:rRNA from 1 species
UGGGCAACCUGCCCCUGGCUCUGGGAUAACUCCAAGAAAUUGGGGCUAAUACCGGAUAUGACUGCUGACCGCAUGGUCUGGCGGUGGAAAAGAUUUAUCGGCUGGGGAUGGGCCCGCGGCCUAUCAGCUUGUUGGUGGGGUAGUGGCCUACCAAGGCGACGGACGGGUAGCCGGCCUGAGAGGGGUGACCGGCCACACGUGGGACUGAGACACGGCCCAGACCUCCGUACGGGGA